GAUGAACGCUGGCGGCGUGCCUAAUACAUGCAAGUCGAGCGAACGGACGAGAAGCUUGCUUCUCUGAUGUUAGCGGCGGACGGGUGAGUAACACGUGGAUAACCUACCUAUAAGACUGGGAUAACUUCGGGAAACCGGAGCUAAUACCGGAUAAUAUUUUGAACCGCAUGGUUCAAAAGUGAAAGACGGUCUUGCUGUCACUUAUAGAUGGAUCCGCGCUGCAUUAGCUAGUUGGUAAGGUAACGGCUUACCAAGGCAACGAUGCAUAGCCGACCUGAGAGGGUGAUCGGCCACACUGGAACUGAGACAGGGUCCAGACUCCUACGGGAGGCAGCAGUAGGGAAUCUUCCGCAAUGGGCGAAAGCCUGACGGAGCAACGCCGCGUGAGUGAUGAGGGUCUUCGGAUCGUAAAACUCUGUUAUUAGGGAAGAACAUAUGUGUAAGUAACUGUGCACAUCUUGACGGUACCUAAUCAGAAAGCCACGGCUAACUACGUG
rnacentral:rRNA from 1 species